AGCAUACGAACAGAGUUGUUCAUCAUUUCCAUCUCAGCUCCUGCUAUGAGAAAGGAGGAGAACUAAAACCUGCAGAAACCUAAUUCUGAUUGCAAGAAUUUCAUGCCAAAUGCACAUAAUUUACUGCUGAUGCACUUAAAGGACUGUGGUGGCUAGAUAAGGCAGAUGUCACAGCCCAGAAAAACCCAGAAGAGGCUUUCAUCGUCGAGUCCUCUCUCACACCUAGGAAGAGGAAUAGCACAGGUGUUUGAGAGAAGYGGUGGCUGUGAGAAAAUGACUUUCCUAUGAACUGUGAGAAAGAAACAGCUGAGUUCAUGAUGGGUGGAUCCUCCUUUCCCCGACUAGAGUCAGGAUCAGCCUUCUUCCCCAGGGAGUGGUAAUUUGUUUCAGUGAAAUGCAGAUUUCAAGGGACGCCCCGAUUACAAGGGAGAUCGUGUUUCAGGUAAUAUGGGCUUCUUCUCCUUUUAUUCCCAKCUUCUACAGUCCUCUCUCCCCUCCAGUUUUCUUUUUCCACUUGUCCUCUGCCAGUCUCCUCUCCUGGGGUCUGUCCCUGCUCCUGUGGAGUUACAUUUCAGUCCUUGCAGUGAUUUGGAUGAUAUUACAUCAGGYCUCAUGUCGUGUUCUGGGUGAGAAAGCAAGACAGUAAAUCUCUGCUGUAUUUAACAGCCCMAUUAUGAUUUUGUGUAACCCACAUCUCUUGGCGGUCUGUUUUUCCCGGAGAACUAGGGAGGGGCAGGGAAGGAAGAGGCAGAACUGCUGAACAAAACCCCACAGCAGCCUUUUUGGCGUCGUUUGUGAAGGAAAGGGGAGGSAACAAGAGAGAGAUCCUAAUCUUAAUAUGAAUGAGGUGCUCCCAUCCAGCAGUGGUGGGUGGGGACUGAAAUGCUCGAUAGCUGGGGAGAUUAGGCAGAUUGUUUGCAGCGAGAUGGAUAGAUGGAAAAGAGCAGGAAAGRCUCAAGGAGAGGCUGAAGCAGAAGGGUGUGAGCUGAGAUGGAAGCAGGUGAGCACCUCCCCACGUGCCUGCGGCACAGAAAUCACCUUCUGCUGCCAAGGAGRGGGAAUGUGCAGGGGAGGCAUUCAUCCUUUAUUGCAGGUGCUGAUUACAGCUGACCCUCUGCUCCGGGUUCCUUCCACUCUUUGUCAGCUCCAGGCACUGAGGAUGUUGCUGAGCCUUUUCUGGCUCUUGCUGGCCGUGCUUGGCUGACAGAUUUUCAAGUAGCCAAAAUCCCACUGCUGCCUGCACUCCUGCAAACACAGGGUGGUGACAACAGGGGUCACAUCCCGGUGGCACAAUCACCGACUGCAAAAAUCAUAUUUAUAACUCUGACAGCUUUUCCCUGCCCUGCCAGAUCGACUCAGAGGUUACAUCAGACUUGUGUCCAUGCAGAGUCAGUCCCCUGUGCUUUACAGGGACCAUUUAGUGGGUUGGAGAUGCUGCUGCAGAGGACAACUCGUUCUUGUGGUGACCAGCAGCAGAGCAAUGUGCCUGUUGUUAGCUGGUUGUGUGCUGUUUAUCAGCUGUGGAUGGKGCUGUCCUGAGUGCAGAGCACACCAGAACCUGAGGCUGGAGGAAAUGAUGCUCCAGAAAGUGAAGGAGAGGGCUGGUGUGAGAGUGGAGACACAAGGGAAGACCUGGCAGCAAGACGAGGUAAGGCCAGGUCAAGCCAGAGCCUUCCGUCAAACGGCCUUUGUCACCUGGCAGCAGCAAUCCUCCAAGCCCUUUUUAUUUUAGCUCUUCUGUUGAAUUACUUUCAGCAAACACAGGUGAACCAAAACAACCGUGCCUUUUGCCCCGGGUUUGGCUCAGGGAGCUGGCUCCCCUCUGGCGAGUGUCCACCAGGGCAGCUUGUGCCUGCCCUGCACGUGCGCUCCUCGCCGAGCCCUGCAGGAACCUGGAGGGGCUCAAAUCCCACACCUUGGCCCCAAAUAAAGCACUUGAUCAUGUACAUCAGCAGCUGUGGGGUGUGUCCUUGCAGAGCAGCCUGUCCAAGGGUUAGGGGGAUGAUCAGGGACAGGGGCUGGGGCUUUCCUCCUGUCCUGCCACUCUGUCACARUUAAAGGAGCCCACAAAGCGUUCCCAUCUCCUGUCCUGGAGCAUUUGGCCCCAGGAAGGUCCUUCAGGGCUUGUCAGUCCCAAGUCACGACUCAGGUCUGAGCCUCCAGGACAUGAGGGCUGCACCUUGGCUGAGACCAGAGGUUUCUGGCUCUUGGCCAGGAGGAACCAGAUAAUGACCCUUGGAAAGCUGGCACAGCAAUUUCUUGUGAAAUCGCAGCUGUUGGUGAGGCUGCUGCCUGCAGACCCAGGUGACACUGCCCAGGGCCUGGAGCAUCUGCCCUGUGCCCAUCUCAUUCCAGGCUGUAAAUGCUGAGAGAGACCCUCCUCACACCCCUGUGCCUGCCAGCAGCAAGGGGACAGCCCAGGGGAGCUGGGAGCAUGGCCAGAGCCCCAGGGAUUUAAAUAAAACACGUCUAGACCUCUGAAUUGACAGCUCUCUUCUCCUCCUGGCUCCUUUCAUCUCAAGGAAAGGAAACCAAUUUCCUUUGCAAAGUAAUCUGAGCUCCAGGAGUUAAAAGUGGUGUUUAAAGAGCUCGGUGGUGAUGUUGCACAAGGAGCUUGCAGGCUGGAGAAAGCUCUGCCUCAGUGUGUAAAAACUAGGCUAAUAAUGUUUUCCUGCCUCACACAAGCUGUGUGAGAGUUAAUUAAUUUUAAAAGCAGCUUGAAACACAGUCACAACGUAGGUGCUAAGUUUUAUUUAUUAAUAUUCCAUAUUCAAAAUACAAGACUAAUUACUUAUGUGCAUGGCAAAGAGUGCAUUUCUGUGCUAGUAAUUCAAUUUUAAUGGUUUAGGUGGUACUUUYAUUGAGCUGUACUCAAAAACAAAAAUGUUGCAUUAGGUAAAAAUUGUGUGUAGGUCUCUCAUUAAGUGUUAUCUUUAUUAUACUGAUUUAAAAUMAUUUCAUGCUGAAUUUGUCAAGACCAAACAUCUGGCUUUUGCUGUAGCACACGAUGCUUCCUGGAUUGGCUGUGUAGUUUUCUGAGCUGGGGAUGUAGAGAUCUUCCAUGAGCAUUGAUAGGGAUUCAAAGAUAAACUCUCAUCAGAGGGUUUUCUCCCUGGGUAUCACAUGCUGAUGUUUUAACCCCUCUACAGUCGGACCAUAUUUUCAGAGCUCUAACAAGCUUACAAACAAAAUAGUGGGAUCUUUCAAAAAUGUAUUUCUCUGUGUGUGUCAAUGGCUUAGAGAAUUCAUCCCAGUUUCCCAUGCUGUGUGGUAGCAAUUUGUACAUAUUUGUAUAUAAUUUAGGGUGGCCUGGCUCUAUGUGGAGCCCCUGGAUGCCCUGGUAGUGAAUAAGUUUCCACUCUAGGGAAAAAGAAAUAAACAAAAAAAACCAAACAACAUUUAAGAAUAUCAGAAAUUAAAAUUAAAAGAAAAAAUUCUUUAGAAUAUUUUCUCCCUGCUGAGUCUGAUGGAGAGUUCAGGGAACACCCUGGAAAGCCUAGCUAUGGUGAAAUUUUAUGGAUAUGCCCUCUAAAUAUAUAAGAGAUGUAAAAAGGGUCCUCUGCUUCAACCUAUCCAGGAACUGCAGUAACUCUGACAUUUCCUAGUGCUUCAAGCACAUCACAACAAGGAUUUUCACUAAAGAUGGUAGAUACAGACACCAAAAGUSACAUUUUCUCCCCUCCACUUUGAAGCUUGUCCAAAUUGCAGCUCAGUGAGGCUGUCACCAGAGUUAUUUAAAAUGUAAAUGCAUUGGAAGUGAAAUGGCMUCAGUUUGGGUGAUUUUUUAAAGAUAAGUAAGUCACAGUGGAGAAAACCUGGYAAUGCACAAAGUUCAAAGUUGGUCUUUGCAUGAGAGCAAAGGAGCCAUGGGAAGGGCAACUCAAAAUUAUGAGCAGAAAUUGGAGAGGUGCCCACUGUGAUAGUYUGAGCUCAGCUUAGAAGCAGAUAAAGACAGAAAGUUAAUUUUUAACUUAAAGUUUUGCGCAUUAAGAGACGUGUUAUAUUUCCUUGUGAUGCAGUAUAAUGAGAAACAGAAUUAUUAUUUAGUGAUUUCACUUUUUUUUUUCUCAAAUAUAUGAAUCUGAGGCUUGUGUGCUGUUUGCCACUGGAUUGAUGUCUGCCUCACCCACAUUUUGCCACUGCUUUUGUGGGAAUUGCUGUUUGCUGCCAGAUAAAUUCAUAUUAUUACUGGGUCUCCUUUGGCUAUGCACAGGGUAAAGGGGGGURGCAACAGGCAGAUUCUCGCCAUCCUGGAUGAAAAUUCCAUUUGCUGAUGGUAGAUAUUCCACCCUUUCCCUCCAACUGAAGUCUCCCAUGGGCUCAAGGGAGCUUCCACUGCCCAAUGCCCCCACCAGCCCCUCUCAAUUCCUUGGUGCCUGGKUUGGGAUGGGGAAUUUCCAUCCAAGGGACAUAUUAGACUCUUCUUUCUAAUGGGCUGAUGUGCAUUUUCCUUAUUGAAAUUAUGUUUUCCCCUUUAACUCGUGGUUUUUGUAGGCUUCCUUUCCACCUYGUGUGUGUACUGUGUGCUGGAAAAGAAACCUUUAAACGGUUUGAAGCUGCUGCUGGCUGUAAAAUAACUGGAGCUGACAGUGGGCUUGCACAAGCACGGAGCUGUAAAUCAGUGAAAUGUAUUGCACAUAAUUUCCUGGUGCCUGCUSUCCUUGGGAGCAGAUCCCUGCUGGGAUGAAUGUCAUCACAGCGUGCGAGCUCCUGGAUUUGAUGCUUCUUUUGU